CGCGUAGAUAAUCUACCCCUAUAUCUGGGAUAACCACUCGAAAGGGUGGCUAACACCGGAUACGCUUGUUUUAUCGCGAGAUAUGAUGAGUAAAGGUGACCUCUCGGUGAAGUUGCCGUAUGGGGAUGAGUCUGCGUACCAUUAGCUAGUAGGUGGGGUAAAAGCCUACCUAGGCUACGAUGGUUAGCGGGUCUGAGAGGAUGAUCCGUCACACUGGAACUGGAACACGGACCAG
rnacentral:rRNA from 1 species